rnacentral:rRNA from 1 species
ACUCAAAGGAAUUGACGGGGGCCCGCACAAGCGGUGGAUCAUGUGGUUUAAUUCGAAGCAACGCGAAGAACCUUACCUGGAUUUGACAUCCUCUGACAGCCAUAGAGAUAUGGUGUUCGUAGCAAUACGACAGAGAGACAGGUGCUGCAUGGCUGUCGUCAGCUCGUGUUGUGAAAUGUUGGGUUAAGUCCCGCAACGAGCGCAACCCCUGCUUUUGGUUGCCAUCAUUAAGUUGGGCACUCCAGAAGGACUGCCGUCGUUAAGACGGAGGAAGGUGGGGAUGACGUCAAGUCCUCAUGGCCUUUAUAUCCAGGGCGACACACGUGAUACAAUGGUUGGUACAGAGGGUAGCGAAGCAGUGAUGCGGAGCCAAUCUCAAAAAGCCAAUCUCAGUUCGGAUUGGAGUCUGCAACUCGACUCCAUGAAGUUGGAAUCGCUAGUAAUCGCGGAUCAGCACGCCGCGGUGAAUACGUUCCCGGGCCUUGCACACACCGCCCGU